rnacentral:rRNA from 1 species
UACGGGGGGAGCAAGCGUUGUUCGGAUUUACUGGGCGUAAAGGGCGCGUAGGCGGUCAGCACAAGUCAGUUGUGAAAUCUCCGAGCUUAACUCGGAAAGGUCAACUGAUACUGUGCGACUAGAGUGCGGAAGGGGCAACUGGAAUUCUUGGUGUAGCGGUGAAAUGCGUAGAUAUCAAGAGGAACACCUGCGGCGAAGGCGGGUUGCUGGGCCGACACUGACGCUAAGGCGCGAAAGCGUGGGGAGCGAACGGG